GCGGCCGCACCUACCGCACGCUGCUGCAGCUCACCAGGAUGUACCCCGGCCUGCAGGUGUACACCUUCACGGAGCGCAUGAUGGCCUACUGCGACCAGAUCUUCCAGGACGAGACGGGCAAGAACCGGGAGAAGAGCCACCCCUCAGUGCCUUACCACUACUUUGAGAAGGGCCGGCUAGAUGAGUGUCAGAUGUACCUGGCACACGAGCAGGCGCCCCGAAGCGCCCACCGCUUCAUCACUGAGAAGGCGGUCUUCUCCCGCUGGGCCAAGAAGAGGCCCAUCGUGUUCGCCCAUCCGUCCUGGAGGACUGAGUAGCUUCCGUCGUCCUGCCAGUCGCCAUGCCGUUGCGAGGCCUCCGGGAUGUCCCAUCCCAAGCCAUCAC
rnacentral:lncRNA from 1 species